rnacentral:rRNA from 1 species
UACGUAGGGGGCAAGCGUUGUCCGGAUUUAUUGGGCGUAAAGAGCGUGUAGGCGGUUUGGUAGGUCCGCUGUGAAAACUCGAGCUCAACCUCGAAGACGGCCGGUGGAAACCAUCAGACUAGAGUCCGGAAGAGGAGAGUGGAAUUCCUGGUGUAGCGGUGAAAUGCGCAGAUAUCAGGAAGAACACCCGUGGCUAAGGCGGCUCUCUAGUACGGUACUGACGCUGAGACGCGAAAGCGUGGGGAGCGAACAGG